GACGAACGCUGGCGGCGUGCCUAAUACAUGCAAGUAGAACGCUGAAGGAGGAGCUUGCUCUUCUGGAUGAGUUGCGAACGGGUGAGUAACGCGUAGGUAACCUGCCUGGUAGCGGGGGAUAACUAUUGGAAACGAUAGCUAAUACCGCAUAAUAUUGACUAUUGCAUGAUAGUCAAUUGAAAGGUGCAAAUGCACCACUACCAGAUGGACCUGCGUUGUAUUAGCUAGUUGGUGGGGUAACGGCUCACCAAGGCGACGAUACAUAGCCGACCUGAGAGGGUGAUCGGCCACACUGGGACUGAGACACGGCCCAGACUCCUACGGGAGGCAGCAGUAGGGAAUCUUCGGCAAUGGACGGAAGUCUGACCGAGCAACGCCGCGUGAGUGAAGAAGGUUUUCGGAUCGUAAAGCUCUGUUGUAAGAGAAGAAACGAGUGUGAGAGUGGAAAG
rnacentral:rRNA from 1 species